CGCUGCCUGAAAAGAAACAGCAAGUGCUCGCUGGGCCCUGCGGAAGCUUCCAGUAGCCCGAAUGGUGGUGGUUCAGCACCGCACAUGCUCUCUGGAGUUCCGUUCACGCUGCAGCCAACGGGAGAGUGCCCGCCUACCGUCGCCACCCGCCCGUGAGUUGCACCUGCGCGAGUGAGGGCAGAGUGCAAGCGGGCCAGCCACGGUGGCAGUGGUGCCUCCAUAUUGUCCCACUCCCCCCUUCUUGCCUUCCUACCUGCCUUGGAGAAGAGAAGCCUCUUGGUAACAACCGAGCUGCAAGCAUUCACAACAUUCCUCUGGGAAGGAUCAAGAAACUAAUAAUUGGAGCACUGUAGACCUUGAAAAAUAUAAUCCUUAAUCUUUAUUUGAAGAGCUAAAGUGAGAGGAGAUUCAGGAGCCCUCCAACUUGCAAUAGGUUUGAAACAUCGAAGGCAGCUUACACCAAAAAUAAAAAAACGAUACAGCAAGUAAUAAACAAAAACCAAUGAACCUCAAAUCAUAUAUAUUUCUAGGCAAAGACAAACACCCUAGACAUGUCCACUGAAAAGGCCCUCUUCCAGAUGCCUCCCCUGCUGUCCUUAGACUCAUGUGAGAGGAGGGGAUUGAAGAAGGAUCUCCAAUGGCUGGCUGGCAUUUGUAAUCUAGAAUUUCAGAAGUGACCCACAGUAGGACUGUGCUUGUUCUUAUUAUACACCAUGGGAUGCUUGGGUUUUUUUAAAGUAAUAUCUCUUCCAGCAAUUUCUAAUCACAUUUUUUGUGUUGCUGAAACAUCUGAGCAAAAUUUCCGAGUUGCUUUAUGAGGUUUUACUAUGAUCCAAUCACAAAUUACACUAGGUGAAUGUUUCAAAUAAAAUCAAGAGAGUUUCAAAAGAUAA